rnacentral:lncRNA from 1 species
CUCAGGAUCUGUGCAAUAACGUGACACUUCCUACGUCUUCCAUAGGGUCUCAGAGCCCGGGAAAACGUUGAACGAUAUCGAGGCAGGCUCUGGCUGAAACACUUUAUCGCUUUUGGCAAGUGGCCACUCAGAGUACUAUGGGCUUAGGCGCGUGCCCGCUUCGACCGAAUGCUUUGUUUUCCUUUGUCUGUUUAUCUAAAUGCAGAUUCCCGGUCGGAAUAUUAUUGCUUUUUUAUGAGAAAAAUGGCAUAAAAAUUUAUUUUAAACAGCGGUUGACAUGCUUCGAAGUACGGUAAUGGAAUAUUUAGAAUUCUUUUGUCACGAAUUGCGCCAUGCUCGUCACCCUUAUUUAGCCUUUAGGAUAGUGUCUAGAACGCACAAACAAAACGCCGCUGUUUGGAUAUAACGAUGGAUUAUUUUGGACCAAACCAACAUUUGUUAUUGAAGUAGAAGUCCUGGGAGUGCAUUCUGACGAAGACAACAAAUGGCUGAACCUCAUUGGAGGAAUCCAGUGUUGUGUUCGAGACCACCUUAAGCGAGACCGAUUCAAGACCAAGACCGGAGCGAAUCGAGUCCGAGUCAAAACCAAGACCGGAGAGGGGGUGAGACCAAGUCAAGACCGAGGCCAGGAGGGGGAUGAGAGGUUCGAGACCGAGUCAAACCGAGACCAGAAUAAUCCGAGAGGUCCGAGACCAAGUCCAAGUCAAGACCAUGACUAUAAUUUUGUAAAAUCGUGACCAAAAUAUGAUUUAAAAAUGUCCAGUAUUUCUGUGUUCAUAUUUCAGAAGAGUAUAUGAAUUCUUUAGAUAUUCAGAAUGGUGAAAAAAAAUGCAUGCUGAGGGCAAAUAGAGCCACUCUACAAUGAGGACCUUCUGUGCUUUCAGAGAAAGGCCAAGUAUUUAUAAAAUAAUAAAAAGUAAUUAUUAUUAUGUUGUUCUUUUCAAUGAUGUUCUGAUUUAAUCUCUUCAGUUUUUGCUACAAAGGUAAAGGUUAAUACUUUGGGGGUCUCUGGGGAGAUACAUCUAGCUAGCUAAGUCAGCCAUUGGCUGGGCCAUCAGAAGCUUGAUAGAAGGCAUCUGCCAUUCAACUGAAUUAGGGCAACAUUUUGGUGUGACAGUGGAAUCAACCAAUCACAUUGACUUGUAGUGGCCAACAGGUCAAAGGUCACUGUGAAAUAGCGAGCAGUAGUUUUCCCAAGGUCUAGCUAUCUUUUGUUGUAGGCUAGUUUGCAGUCACUGCAGCAGGUGCGUCAAAGAGAAUGUUGUUGCUAAUUUGCUAACUUCUCACUUUUCAAGAAUAACUUUCAAUGAGAAGUUAUGUUUCUAAUGAUCACCAUCUGGUGAGUGGA